rnacentral:misc_RNA from 1 species
AAGUCGUAACAAGGUUUCCGUAGGUGAACCUGCGGAAGGAUCAUUACCGAGUUUUCUGGUUUACAGAUUUCUCCCACCCUUGUGUAUUUUGAUGCUGAUAAGCAGCUUCGGCGGGCCGUUCUUGGGGUUUGUUGAUUGUCCUGCAAUUGAUAGAGACCAAGAACAUCGGCCUUUAAAGCGGAUCUGUGUCCGCCGAAGGAAACCCAAUUCUUGAUAAUUGUAAAGUCUGAAAAAAAACUUGAUAAUAAAAUCAAAACUUUCAACAACGGAUCUCUUGGUUCUG